ACCGUUGUGGUCUAGUGGUUGGGAUUCCCGGCUCUCACCCGCGAGGCCCGGGUGCGAUUCCCGGCAACGGAG
rnacentral:tRNA from 1 species